GUACUGGAGGACAGGUGCUGCAUGGCUGUCGUCAGCUCGUGUCGUGAGAUGUUGGGUUAAGUCCCGCAACGAGCGCAACCCUUGCCUUUAGUUGCCAGCAGUUCGGCUGGGCACUCUAAAGGGACUGCCGGUGUUAAACCGGAGGAAGGUGGGGAUGACGUCAAGUCCUCAUGGCCUUUAUGACCAGGGCUACACACGUACUACAAUGGCCGAUACAAAGGGCAGCGACACUGCGAGGUGAAGCCAAUCCCGUAAAAUCGGUCUCAGUCCGGAUUGGAGUCUGCAACUCGACUCCAUGAAGUUGGAAUCGCUAGUAAUCGUGGAUCAGCAUGCCACGGUGAAUACGUUCCCGGGCCUU
rnacentral:rRNA from 1 species